GACGAACGCUGGCGGCGUGCUUAACACAUGCCAGUCGAACGGAAAGGCCCUGCUUUUGUGGGGUGCUCGAGUGGCGAAAGGGUGAGUAACACGUGAGUAACCUGCCCUUGACUUUGGGAUAACUUCAGGAAACUGGGGCUAAUACCGGAUAGGAGCUACUGCUGCAUGGUGGGGGUUGGAAAGUUUCGGCGGUUGGGGAUGGACUAGCGGCUUAUCAGCUUGUUGGUGGGGUAGUGGCUUACCAAGGCUUUGACGGGUAGCCGGCCUGAGAGGGUGGCCGGCCACAUUGGGACUGAGAGACGGCCCAGACUCCUACGGGAGGCAGCAGUGGGGAAUAUUGCACAAUGGGCGGAAGCCUGAGGCAGCAACGCCGCGUGCGGGAUGACGGCCUUCGGGGUGUAAACCGCUGUCGCCUGUGACGAAGCGUGAGUGACGGUAAUUGGUAAAGAAGCACCGGCUAACUACGUG
rnacentral:rRNA from 1 species